AGAGUUUGAUCAUGGCUCAGAUUGAACGCUGGCGGCAGGCUUAACACAUGCAAGUCGAGCGGUAACAGAAAUAGCUUGCUAUUUGCUGACGAGCGGCGGACGGGUGAGUAAUGCUUGGGAAUAUGCCUUAUGGUGGGGGACAACAGUUGGAAACGACUGCUAAUACCGCAUAAUGUCUACGGACCAAAGGGGGGGAUCUUCGGACCUCUCGCCAUUUGAUUAGCCCAAGUGAGAUUAGCUAGUUGGUAAGGUAAUGGCUUACCAAGGCGACGAUCUCUAGCUGGUUUGAGAGGAUGAUCAGCCACACUGGGACUGAGACACGGCCCAGACUCCUACGGGAGGCAGCAGUGGGGAAUAUUGCACAAUGGGGGAAACCCUGAUGCAGCCAUGCCGCGUGUGUGAAGAAGGCCUUCGGGUUGUAAAGCACUUUCAGUUGUGAGGAAAGGUGUGUAGUUAAUAGCUGCAUACUGUGACGUUAACAACAGAAGAAGCACCGGCUAACUUCGUGCCAGCAGCCGCGGUAAUACGAGGGGUGCAAGCGUUAAUCGGAAUUACUGGGCGUAAAGCGUUCGUAGGCGGCUGAAUAAGCAAGAUGUGAAAGCCCAGGGCUCAACCUUGGAACUGCAUUUUGAACUGUUCGAUUAGAGUACUGUAGAGGGGGGUAGAAUUUCA
rnacentral:rRNA from 1 species